rnacentral:rRNA from 1 species
GAUGAACGCUGGCGGCGUGCCUAAUACAUGCAAGUCGAGCGAACAGGCGAGGAGCUUGCUCCUCUGACGUUAGCGGCGGACGGGUGAGUAACACGUGGAUAACCUACCUAUAAGACUGGGAUAACUUCGGGAAACCGGAGCUAAUACCGGAUAAUAUAUUGAACCGCAUGGUUCAAUAGUGAAAGGCGGUUUUGCUGUCACUUAUAGAUGGAUCCGCGCCGCAUUAGCUAGUUGGUAAGGUAACGGCUUACCAAGGCAACGAUGCGUAGCCGACCUGAGAGGGUGAUCGGCCACACUGGAACUGAGACACGGUCCAGACUCCUACGGGAGGCAGCAGUAGGGAAUCUUCCGCAAUGGGCGAAAGCUUGACGGAGCAACGCCGCGUGAGUGAUGAAGGUCUUCGGAUCGUAAAACUCUGUUAUUAGGGAAGAACAAAUGUGUAAGUAACUAUGCACGUCUUGACGGUACCUAAUCAGAAAGCCACGGCUAACUACGUG